CUGGGAUUUGAACUCUGGACCUUCGGAAGAACAGUCGGGUGCUCUUACCCACUGAGCCAUCUCACCAGCCCUCCCUGACGUUCUUAACUGCCCAAAGUUUCUCAGUAGAGGUGGAGCCUUGGAGCCCCUCCUCCAUUUGUGCUGGAAUAUCGUGGGACUACCUUGUGCAGGCUUGACAUUCUGAAGUCAUGACCUUCAGCCAUAAAUAAUGCCUUGGAUACUUUGAGGUUGACUUUUCGAAACUGGUAAAGGGGAAGGACACAGUUAAGGGCGUGGGAGGAUGGAGGGUGUGGCUACAAUAUCUUGGUGUCUCCAAGGCUAACUGCAAGUUGAAAACAAUUAGUUUGAUUUUAAUUAAAUCUUAAAUUUCAAGUUGAUUUGGAGAACAUAAAUAUAUGUUUUCUGUGGCUAACAGCUUUUUAGACAAACAUAGCAUGUAUUUUUUUAUAUACUGAGUAACUGAAAGACGUGGGGAUAGGGUGCUGUAGGCUGUUGCUAAAUCAUUCUUCGUUCAUGUGGAAGAAUUCCCUGGGCUUUGGGAAAUAUAUAUCUUGAACUACUUAGCUAACUAGAUGGCCAGUAUACAUAAAUAUUUUAGAGUAUUAUUUAGUAGAUAGUAAGAAAAUCAGGCUAAGGACUCACUGCUUCAAUUUGUUUUAAACUAUUCAUAUUGACAGUUUAAUUAUAUAUUAUAUAUAUAUAAUUUAUUUCUUCUUCCUCCUCCUUCUUCUCCUCCUUCUUCUUCUCCUUUUUUUUUUUUUUUUUUUUUUUUGAGACAGGAUUUCUCCGUGUAGCCAUAGCUGUCCUGGAACUCACUCUGUAGACCAGGCUGGCCUCGAGCUCAGAAAUCCGCCUGCCUCUGCCUCCCGAGUGCUGGGAUUAAAGGCGUGCAACACCACUGCCCAACUAUAUUCUUCUUUUGAAGAACCUAACUUUGCUGGUUGUUCUAGAAGUGGAGUGCUCAGGUCUCUGGCCUCACUGCACUCACCGACUUAAGAUUCUGGCAGACAUUGUGCACAUGCUACGGUGCUGAGGUAAUGGCUCCUGGUGCGGGGCUGAGGAAGCUGUGAAGAAGGCAGAGUCACAGAAAACAGUGGUGUUAAGUAGCAAAGGGUAUGCCGUAUUCCGGAGACCAUCGGGGCAUCUGCUGAUGGAACAUGAUGAGUGAGGGAAGGGAGACCCCAGAUUCUGCUGAAGAGUAAGUGUUUACUGAGAGGGUGGGUGGGUCUAGCCUGUAGUAUGUGUUUGCCGAGAGGGUGAAUGGGCCUUGCCUGCUACAGCUGUGAUUCUGUCAGGUCCUUAUAAACAAAAGGGAACAAAACCUCUACAUGAUGAUGAUGAAUAAGGGGAUGGUGCCCAAUCUGGUCAGUUGAAGCUCUAUAGUGUCUCACUUGGGUAUCCAGACUUGAAGCCAUGUUAUUCCAGGCAAACACACAGGGGCCUGCUGUGUGGUUCAGGAUACUGACUAGUCUAUAUUGGGAGUCCUUAGAGUUACCGUGUGUGUGUGUGUGUGUGUGUGUGUGUGUGUGUGUGUGUGUGUGUGUGUGUGUAUGCGUGUGCACUGGCUAUAUCACACGUAUGUUGAGGCCAGAGGUUGACAUCAAUGCCUUCCUCAGUUGCUCUCCACUUAGUUUUCUGACAAGGUCUCUCACUGAACCCGGAGCUUCCUGAGUUGCCGGCUGCCCAGUGGUCCACAGAAGUCCACAGGUUCUGUCUUCCCAGUCCUGGGAUUCAGGUACACAACACUGUGUGCACCCUGAGCCUCUCCCAGCCUUCUGUUUGCAUGGCAGGCUCUUUACUGACUAAACUCUGUCUCCAGACCUUGAAGACCUGUCUUGAUAUUAAGUAAAUUUUUCCCCUAUUAGUCUCCUCAGAGUUAAUAGAGUGAAGAUUGGAAAAAGCUCAGAUUUGAGUGGGAUCCUUCAGGAAAGUGUAAAGGGACUGAGGGCUGACAGGGGCAGAGGUUGCAGGAGUGCAGAUGAGUAAUGACAUUGUAAAGCUUUGCAUGUAAGCUUUCUUCUCUCUUCUUUUCUUUUCUUAAAUUUUAUUUAUUUGUGUGUGUGUGUGUGUGCAAGUGUGCACACGUGCAUGCUUGUGCACCACACCUGUCAUUGUGUGAGUGUGAAGGUCUGGGGACAGUUUGCAGCAUUUCUUUCCACCCUGUAGGUCCUGGGGACUGAGCUGACAUCUUCAGAUGUUUAGGAUUUACCUGUAUUUACCAGGUUUUUAGACCUGGUCUUUCAUUUACAGAAGAGAAGGGUAUUUAUUUAAACGUUUAAAAUACUUUUCAUAUGUGUGAAUGCUUUGCCUUAGUGUAUAUCUGUGCACCAUGUGUGUGUAUAUUAGGUGCCUGUGAAGGCCAGAAGCUGCAGUCACAGGCUGUUGUGAGCUGCCCUGUGGGAGCCGAAGCUAGAUCUUCUGGAGGAGUCGCCUGUGCGCUCAACCGCUGACCCAUCUCUCUUGCCACCUACAAGUCUUAUUUUUGAACAUUGAAACACAAUAUGGCAUGACUUAUGCAUAUAAAAUAUCCCUCAA
rnacentral:lncRNA from 1 species